rnacentral:rRNA from 1 species
UACGUAGGGUGCGAGCGUUGAUCGGAAUUACUGGGCGUAAAGCGUGCGCAGGCGGUUGUGUAAGACAGAUGUGAAAUCCCCGGGCUUUACCUGGGAACUGCGUUUGUGACUGCACGGCUAGAGUACGGCAGAGGGGGGUGGAAUUCCUGGUGUAGCAGUGAAAUGCGUAGAGAUCAGGAGGAACAUCGAUGGCGAAGGCAGCCCCCUGGGCCUGUACUGACGCUCAUGCACGAAAGCGUGGGGAGCAAACAGG